rnacentral:rRNA from 1 species
AACCCGACAGUUUAAAUAAGUGUCUUUAUUCUAAACUGUGUAUGUCGUUUAUUACACUAUGUAAUAACGAUACACGACUAAAAUACGAAUCUAUUAAACAAGGAUUCUCUUUUAGAUACUCUAAAAGGAAUCACUUAUGCAACUGCAUACAGCUGCUUAAUACAGUCACACUUGUCUUGACUUGGCGCUAUUUCUUUUAUCGCUAUAAGCGAUGUUAGAUUUCAUCUGUUAUUCUAUUAUUAGAAUAAACAGAAUGACUCACCCAUAUCCUAUUAAUGGAUAACUCAGGGAAAGUUUGGCUAAUACAUACGAGAAUUACCAUACACACACGGGUUAUAUUUGUAAUACCUAUUAUUGCAAUAAGCGCUAUUGACUCUAAGCGGGGGAGAUAUUACGCUUGCGUAUGCCUCUAUACAGACAUGCGGAUGCCUCUUUAUUGACGGUAUUUCACUUGUCUCUAUUAGUUUAUUAUAGCCUAUAAGACAAUAUCUGUAUUACUUUUUUUAACUCUAAUAAUACAAUACCCCUUAUUCUCUGCACUCAAUGGUUAAUCUUUAGGUAUUAACGAUAUAAUCGUUAUACCUUUCCUUAUAAGAUUACAAACAACAUGAGAGACAUUGAGCACGCAUCGUAAUAUGAUUCUAUUACUUGUUAAUAGAUCUAUUACAUUUUUUACGCUGAGCAGACUUUACGAAGUUCACUUUGUGAAGCAUGUCAUACAAGCAUCUACAGCAUCAAGUCACAGGGUUGGCAAGUGUAUUUUUGAACCUUCAAAGCAGUCACGCAUACGGAAGAGUAGUUUCUGAUCCCAUAGAAGGAGCACCGUACAAUGAGAGACCGCUCUUAGUUCUAAGGAACGCAGCAGGCGCGUAAAUUGCCCAAUGACAGUACCCUACAAUCUCUUAUAAUAAUCUUAUUAUAAGAGUAAUUGAUAUCUAUUGAAUCAUUGCAAUUAAAUACGCAAUUAAACAACGUAUUAAUAUCGUGUACUCGUUUUAUUACAUUCUUAUAACGACUAUAAGAAUAUUAUCCUUGUCCGCUGUUAAUACCACGUAUAAUCUAAUAUACUAAUAUAUUAGUUUUAAUACGUUGAGGCAGUGACAAGCUGUAACGGUUGAGUAUUUUAAAUGACGAGUGUCUGGCAUUGCCGCUCUUUCGGGAGCUUGGCAAGUUGCCGACGCUUUGUGUGCUCAAUUGGAAUGCGGUGAGUUUAAGCAACUCAGAACCUUUUAUUGGUGUUUUUAAUCACUCACUAAUGACGUAUCUGAAUUUCAAGUGGAGGGCAAGUCUGGUGCCAGCAGCCGCGGUAAUACCAGCUCCACUGGCCUAUACAAUCAUUGUUGCGGUUAAGAGGCUCGUAGUUGGAUUGAACUACUAUAAUGUUAUUGUUAUUCUAAUAGCAAUUACUUAUUAUACGUGGUAUUAUUAGCAGCUAAUAAAUCUUUUAUUAGCUGUUAAUUCGACUCUUUUGUUUAAAAGAGCUAAUAACAUGUUAUACACACACACACACAAUCCUUAUUCUAUAAGGUAAUUGCUGUUGUAAUUACAAUACUCUCUCAACACUGUGAACAAAUCAGAGUGUAUCAAACAUGUUGUUUUUUCUUGUGCAUUGUAUGUCUUAUCAUGGGAUGUUGCACUCGUAAAACUAUAAGAGAUAAAUAAACUAUUAAAUCUAUUAAAAGAUUAUAAUCUUAUAAUAAUAGAUUAAUCUCUUAUAGAGCUUCUAAUACGAAAAUGUCGAUGGGGAUAGUUGGAGCCAACAGUACUGCUGGGCGAGCGGUGAAAUGCAUUGACCCUAGCAAGACUACCAAAAGCGAAAGCAGUUGGCUAGGCUAUACUCUUUGUGAUGUUAUAUUGUUAUAUUAAGCUUAAACAAAUAAAAGUAAUAGCUUAUUAUAACCUUAUUAUAAUCACUUUACAAUGAAGAACGAAGGUUGGGGGAUCAAAGAGGAUCAGAUACCCUCGUCGUCCCAUUUGUUACAUCAAACGAUGGACUCUCAAUUGCAAUUUCUAUUAUUAGAAUUGCUAAAUGCACCUCAGCCUGCAAAUUAUAACCUGGCUCGAGCUUAUACCUAAUAUUCGUAUUAGAUAUGCUCGCCUAACUUUAACUUUCGUACGGUCUCGAUGGACAUUUUGAUUCUAUAAUCUUUAUUCUGCGUGUAAGCUAUACAUGUUUAAUCUUUAAGCAAUCUAUUAUAUUUUAAUAGGAUAUGCUGGAUUUACAUGGCGUGCACUUGAUUUUCGGAGCUUUGCGCUCAAUUCUGGUGAGAUGUAAGCACUCUGUUUAACUACCCGUACUAUAUAUUUUCCUUAACCGGAGAAUAUUAAUAGUAUCGUGUUGUAUGUUAUUCAAUCUUUUGUGUGAAGCACGCGUUAGGCACGCGCUUACUGCAGAAAUGUCUGAGACAUUCUCCUCCGGGGGUAGUAUGCACGCAAGUGUGAAACUUGAAGGAAUUGACGGAAGGGCACCACAAGAACGCGUGGAGCAUGUGGCUUAAUUUGACUCAACGCGGGAAAUCUUACCGGGUCCGGACACACUGAGGAUUGACAGGCAAUAUCUAUUAAAAGAUUAUAUUUUUAAUAUAAUUCUUAUUUUAAUAGUGUUAAAUAUGCUAGUCCUUUCAUGAUUAUGUGAUAGGUGGUGCAUGGCCGUUCUUAGUUCGUGGAGUGAUCUGUCUGCUUAAUUGCGUUUCACUAAGGGCCCAUAAAUUCAAGGUAUGUUAGCUAUUGUUUCCCUAUUGACCCCUUAUUUAAUAAGCGCGUGUCUUUAUGGGUUUAAACAUUGCGCAUGCUGUUGGGUCCUGAAAGCAACGAACGUGACCGCAACGUCUUGUUGCCUUUAUCUUGUUAUAUCUAUUAUUUUUAUAAUAGAUAAUAACUAACAGAGGCUAAUCUAAAACUAGACGGACCGCUGUUUCUUUCUUAAACCAGAGGAAGGUUGCGGCAAUAACAGGUCUGUGAUGCCCUUAGAUGUUCCGGGCUGCACACGUGCUACAAUGAUCAGUACAGUGAGCAUCUCAAUUUUUAUACACCGUAUUUAGCGCUUAGAUGCGAUUAUUGGCUCUUUUAGAGUCUUUUAAUUGUAUUUCUAAUGCGCGCGGUAAAGCCUGCUUCGAGAGUAAGUGGGUAAUCCAUUGGAAGUAAUGAUUUCUCUUUAUUAUAGCACACCUAUAUACGGCAUUCAUUCCCGGGAUGACUAGUUUCGUCUUUUUUGUGCGAAUGUAAUGUAUUCUUUAUCCGUAUGUGCGAUUGUCAAUUCAUGGUGGGGACAGACCAUUGUUAAUUGUUGGUCUCGGUCUUAACUAGGAAUGCCUUGUACGGGUCUUUGGUUCAACAAACCACCCGGAAUACGUCCCUGCCCUUUGUACACACCGCCCGUCGCUCUUACCGAUGAACUUCUUUGUGAGUCUAAGGGACUGGGUUAAUACUUAUUUUUAAUAGGUAUAUACCUAUGGAAACUUAUACGAACAAUGUGGUUUAAAGGAAAGAGAAGUCGU